GGUAAAUGUAAGCUUACCGUAAGGGCGUCUGGGUUCCCUCUGGAGCGCCAUGGCCUCCCACGAGAGGGGAAGAAAGGGGACUGUUGUCUCGUCUCCUGGUAGGAUGGUCUCUGGUUGAAGAAGUCUCAUCCCGAUCCACGGGCGUGGUAAUUAGACCGGCCGGACAGACGGCCCCUGAAUCUGCCGGCCCUUGUAGAGACUCGUCCCUGAAAUACCCUCUUCAUAGAGGAUUGAGCCUUGUCCAGGGCUGUAAAAGCACCCCAGAUCCUUUAUAAAGGAUUCUCCAAACAACAUGCCCUGGGCUUCUUUGCCCUCCUCAGUGAGAGCGAGGUUAGCCAAUUUGGGCUCAAUUUUAAAGAGAAUGGCUUUAUGCCACUCAAUAGACAGGGAGGUGUUCACACUGCCUGCUAUGCAGAUCGCCCUCUGCACCCAACCACAGAGUUCUUCUGGGUCAACCUGCCUGUUUUUGGCUCUGGCUAGUUCAGCCAGGUCAAAUAAUUUGGCCAAAGGACCAAAAAUGUCCAGGUGUUUGUCCUGGCAUGAUUUUAAAGCGGAAUCCAAUCCCUUGCGGGGAUUCCAUCCCAUUUUUGAAAGAAAUUGGGACAUUUUGGGGUCAACAAUAGGG